rnacentral:rRNA from 1 species
AUUGAACGCUGGCGGCAUGCCUUACACAUGCAAGUCGAACGGUAACGGGCCUUCGGGUGCCGACGAGUGGCGAACGGGUGAGUAAUGCAUCGGAACGUACCUUUCAGUGGGGGAUAACGUAGCGAAAGUUACGCUAAUACCCCAUAUUCUGUGAGCAGGACAGCAGGGGAUCGCAAGACCUUGCGCUGAUUGAGCGGGCGAUGUCAGAUUAGCUAGUUGGUGGGGUAAAGGCUCACCAAGGCGACGAUCUGUAGCGGGUCUGAGAGGAUGGGCGGCCACACUGGAACUGAGACACGGUCCAGACUCCUACGGGAGGCAGCAGUGGGGAAUUUUGGACAAUGGGGGCAACCCUGAUCCAGCCAUGCCGCGUGAGUGAAGAAGGCCUUCGGGUUGUAAAGCUCUUUCGGCCGGGAAGAAAUCGCACGGGCUAAUACCCUGUGUGGAUGACGGUACCGGAAUAAGAAGCGCCGGCUAACUACGUGCCAGCCGCCGCAGUAACAC